rnacentral:rRNA from 2 species
UACGAAGGGGACUAGCGUUGUUCGGAUUUACUGGGCGUAAAGCGCGCGUAGGCGGAUCGCUAAGUCAGGGGUGAAAUCCCAAGGCUCAACCUUGGAACUGCCUUUGAUACUGACGAUCUGGAGAUCGGGAGAGGUGAGUGGAAUUCCGAGUGUAGAGGUGAAAUUCGUAGAUAUUCGGAGGAACACCAGAAGCGAAGGCGGCUCACUGGCCCGAUACUGACGCUGAGGCGCGAAAGCGUGGGGAGCAAACAGG